rnacentral:lncRNA from 1 species
CCAAGGAAGACCCCGCCACAGCCCUCCUUAAAAUCGCUAUUUCCUCAGCCAUCUUGUUUACUUGGCCCUCAGCCCUUUCAACAUAAGACUUAAACUCGUUAGUCAGCCCUCUAAUGCUUCCCAACAGUUCCUCAUAUCUACCAUCCUCUUCACGAAGAUGAUUCUCAACCACAGUUCUUACGCUAGUUAUUUCUUCCCCCAGGUUGAAACAUUGAUUAGCCAACGGAACUUGGUCCGACUCCAACAUUGUGCCCACGAAUUCCUCCAAACGACUAAGCCGUUCCUGAAUUUGCACAUUUGGAUUCACCAUCUUUCACAACGAAGCUCUGAUACCACUUGUCACGGGGGUAAUUUUUUUCAACUUCAAAUUUUCACCCCUGUGCGGCCUGCCCUUUAACCCUGCGCCCGCCUGCGUCCACUCAGCGCCCUUGCUGCGCCCUUACUGCGUCCUGGGACUAAUAGCAGUCAGCCUUCCCCACUUGAUUCCCUGUAACACUAAGUGUACAAUGCCACAAUACGAAUGCACACAGAUUUACAGCCGAAGCCAACCUUUAUUAUUGCACCACACAAUUACAAAGGACACCCACAAGACCCAAGAGUUAUGGCAAGAGUUUACACACUUUACUCUCCCAAAU